rnacentral:lncRNA from 1 species
UAUUAUUUAUUUAUUUUCAGAGGAUAUUUCUGAUAGUGUUUGAAUAUUUAUGUUAGAAUAAGAUAUUAAAUUGAUAAAAGUUAAAUAAAAUAAUAAUUUUGUCCUUGAAUAUUAUAUAAAAUAUAAGUCAAUGUAUGAAAAUAAAAAUAAAAUUAAUAUAUAAAGAUAUAAUUAUAAAUAUAAAUAUGAAAAUAUAAUUUUAAUUUUAUAAUAUAACAAAUAAUUAAAGUUGUAUAUUAUUAUAUAAUUUUAAAUAUGGAAGAGCAGAUUACUUUAGAAAUUUUAGUAUUUAUUUAAAUUUAUUCGAAAUUAAUUAAAAUUAGAGUAUAAAUGUU